CGUCUGGGCUGCCAACAUGGUAGGUGUUUCGUUUCUUGCCUCCUCUUCCUUGCCGGCGGAGACCCCUAAGCUGUAUUCCCAUUGCCCCUAGUCAUCCACUCCCUACCAUGGUCGGGGCUUCCAGGCUGCGCAUGGCCGCCUGCGGGGCAGGGUGGCCGGCGCGGGCCCGGGGCGGGGCUCCCGGAGCCGUGUGUUAGGCCCGCGGUUCGGAUCUCUAGGACACGCGGGCCCCUGCGCUACCGUGGUGAGACCUCACGGCCCUGAGCGGAUCGGUACCCUCAGCUUUCCCAAACGCUCCAGAAGUUAGGUCUUUGACCCACAGGCUUACAGGACCAUCUCGGCUGGCGGGCAUCGCCCCCUGCCCCUAAUUCCUUAGGCCUUACCACCAAGCUUUUUCCACACAGCCAUCCAGACUGAGGAAGACCCGGAAACUUAGGGGCCACGUGAGCCACGGCCACGGCCGCAUAGGUAACACCGGAAGCACCCCGGCGGCCGCGGUAAUGCUGGUGGUCUGCAUCACCACCGGAUCAACUUCGACAAAUACCACCCAGGCUACUUUGGGAAAGUUGGUAUGAAGCAUUACCACUUAAAGAGGAACCAGAGCUUCUGCCCAACUGUCAACCUUGACAAAUUGUGGACUUUGGUCAGUGAACAGACACGGGUGAAUGCUGCUAAAAACAAGACUGGGGCUGCUCCCAUCAUUGAUGUGGGCUACUACAAAGUUCUGGGAAAGGGAAAGCUCCCAAAGCAGCCUGUCAUCGUGAAGGCCAAAUUCUUCAGCAGAAGAGCUGAGGAGAAGAUUAAGAGUGUUGGGGGGGCCUGUGUCCUGGUGGCUUGAAGCCACAUGGAGGGAGUUUCAUUAAAUGCUAACUACUUU
rnacentral:lncRNA from 1 species